GCUUGAUCAAAGUGGGGCCUCCAGGACAGCCUGUUCUGUCUGCAGAGAAGUGCAGUUGGUGAGCAGUGUUAAAACACAGUGUUAAACUCUGACCCUGAAAGGUGAGGAAGUGAAGGAAAUGGAAGAGUGAAAUUUGGGGAGUCUGGGGCAAAAAAGCCAAAGGAACCACGGGACAGCCUGUCUGGUUGAGAGAUUGAAAUAAACAGGAAACGUGGCUGGAGCAGGAGCACCCCGAGCCACUGCUGUGUCAACAGCAUCACAAAUACAGGUAUCCAGGAUCUGCACCCUGCCUGCAUUUUCCAUGGAUUUCCACUCUGCUCUGCAGCCUGGAACACACUUACAAGAGAUUAGUGGUUGGUGA
rnacentral:lncRNA from 1 species